GCAUUGGUGGUUCAGUGGUAGAAUUCUCGCCUCCCACGAGGUUUUGUGUUGCCUCGCCUGCCACGUGGGUGACCCGGGUCCGAUUCCCGGCCAAUGCA
rfam:Danio rerio chromosome 4, GRCz11 reference primary assembly.